rnacentral:lncRNA from 1 species
CCGAAGGGCGUCGUGGCGUGCAAGAGCGGGUGCGAGGCGUUCGGCACGGACAAGCUGUGCUGUCGGAACCACUACAACAGCCCCCAGACUUGUCGGGCUUCGAGCUACUCGCAGUUCUUCAAGCACGCGUGUCCCACCACCUUCACGUUCGCCUACGACAGCCCUCCGCUCAUGCACCAGUGCUCGUCGCCACGCGAGCUCAAGGUCCUCUUCUGUCCCUAGACAGUGAGACGUAUGGUUCCAGCUUCCAACUGGUUUAACACUUCAACGUGCAGUUGAGUCGCUGUUCUCGUUUUUAAUUACAAUAAAAAAUAAUGUGUGUUUACAGGGGGAAAUAUUAAAGAAAAUAAAAGGAUCAAAACAGGUCUGGUUAACUAAUGUGUGUUUACGGGGGUACCCCGGAAAAAAAUUUGUGUAGUAUGGGGGUGUGGAUGGUUUGUUUGUGUAAUUUGUGUAAUGUUUUACGUAAUGGAAGUGUUUUAAGCAUAACAUAAAUGUGCUUAGUAUUACAUUUCUUGCUUAUAGUGCUGGUCCCAGAGAAAAAAAGAAAAUAAAUAAGGGAAUGUGAAAUAUAUAUAUAUAUAUAGGGAGACUUUGGAUGCGGUUCUUAGUCAUGAAUAUUUUUUUAUUGAAACCUUGUUAGUUUUUAAUUUUUGAUUGAGAUCCCUGAAAUUAAUGUGAUAAUUUAUUUCUAUGUACGUUACUAUUUUUUUUUAAAUUAAAAAUUAGAAAUUUUAGUUGUUUAAUUAAAUGAGAUUUUAAAUAAAAAACCAUAAUUUGUGGGAUUAAAAAUAUUAAAAUAUAAUCUACUAUUGUGUGUGUGUGUGUGUAAACAUGGGUACAUUCAUCAAAAUUAACCAAAACAAUCAAAACAUGGGUACAUUCUUCAAAAUCACAAAAAAAAAAAGAAAAGAUAUUAGGCUUAAUAACAUUAGUAAAUUUCUUCGGUUAAACUUGACAUAGAUACAUUUUAAAAUCAAAGAAAAAAGAAUGUACCCAUAUAAGUUUAAAAAUGGAUUAGAAAAAAAUUGAAUAGAUUUUAUAUUAAAAAAAUGGUACAUUUUACAUAUAACAAAUUUGUAUAUUUAAGAAUGAGUACAUUUUAAGAUUAAAAUGUUUUACAUGAAUGGGUACAUAUAAUUAGCAUGGGUACAUUUAGCAAAAUAAAAAGUACGAAUAAAAAAAAAUAUGGGUACAAAUACAAAUAAACUUUAAAAAAUAUGGGCACAAAAAGAAAUUAAUAUAUGGGUACAAAUUAAAAUUGAAAAGAAAAUUGGUACAAAUUAAAAAAAAUUACAAAUUAAAAAUGGAUACAAACUAAAACUAAAAAUAUAUGAUAAAAAAUUUAGUCAUAAAUAUAAAUAUACUAAUUGUAACAUUUUUAACAUUAAAUGAAUAUAUUUAGAAAUAAAAAAUAUUUAAUUAUUGAAAUAAUUAAUGAUUUAAUAAUACCAAGGACCUUGAUCAAAAAUUAAAAAUUAAUAAGAUUUUAAUCAAUGGAGUAGUAAAAGGAAGGAUGAGAACCUAAUUUUUCCAUAUAUAUAUAUAUAUAUAUAUGUUAAGGCUUUUACUAAAUAAAAAUCUUUUGAUAUCUUAUCAAGUUCCAAGUGCAGUAGCUGACAUCUAUCAAGUAAAUUAGUAGGAGUUUAAUUAAUGGGAUUUUUGUUUUUGUUUAUGUAAAGCUUUAGAGCUUAACUAAUAGGACUUUGAUUGUCUGCCCUCCCCAUGCCUUCUUAUUUUUGUGGUCACGUUUAAGCCACAUUAAUAUUUUAUAUUCUCAUUACUUUUUGUCUUAUUAUUUCUAUAAAAAAAUCAAUAUAAAAUGUUGACGUGACUUAACCGUGAUCACAGAAUAUAGGAGGGCAUGGAAAGGGUAGACAAUCCUAGUCCUAACUAAUAAGUUAAGUCGCGAGUGGUAGGCAGAAAGUCCAGUUAUAUAAUUUAAAAGUCAGCAGUUAAUUAAAGAUUUACCCGAGAAAAAAAAAAUUGAUCAAAUUUGACAAAGUUGUGUUAAGAGAGUAAAGACGAUGAUAAUAAUGAUUUGCGGAAAAAAGCAAAGUUCAAAAAGACGCGGCGGGCUGGACCUAGCGUAUAGACGGUUAGAAGGGUGUUUAGGCAAAUUAAGCGGAUUUAAGUAAAUAUAUUAUAUUACGUAUAAAUAAAUGUCUGUUUAUAUUUAAUAUAUAUAUAUAUGUAUAAUUUUAUAAUAAACUACAAAAUAGAAUGACAUAUAUAUUAUGAAGUAUUGGACAUAUAGGAACAAGCAUAUAAUGUAUCUUCAUUUAAGUUUCAACAAGUCUUUACAAUUUAUUUAAAAAAAAUGCAAAAUGAAAGCUAUCUAUUUUCUGUCUAAGUGAGUCACAACCUAGUUGAUGCCUAAGCAGGUUUGGGUGGGCUAAGUAGGUGCCUAGACAGUCUAGAUGGGUGCAUCAGUAGGUAUAAGCGAUAUUUCUUAAUUUUUAAAUGUUUAUACAUUAAUCGAGACGGUGAUCAAUUACCUAAAGUUUAGGUGAUAAUUUUUAGAACAGUGAAAAAAAAAAGAAGUUGGAUUUGCGAGAGUAAUAAAAGCAGAAGCAGAUCGCAGGAAAGUGGCCAAAGGUCCCAUCUUUAGAAAAAGGAAUUCGAAUCUCUGAGGAGUAUCUGAUGGUAAGCAGGAACGAAGGGCACAGGUUGACACGGAUAUAUAGCCUCUGAAGAAAGAAGAGAAAAAAAAAAGAAAAAAUAAAGAAAGAGAAAUUGUGGUUUACCAAAAAAAAAAAAGAAAAGAGAAUGGUGAGCUUUAGAGCCACAGAAAUCUUUUGCUUCUUUUCUUUCUCGAAAUUUGGCACUGUGCUAUUACGUGGAGAAAUUUUUAGUUGUGAUGAAAACAUAAGUGGUACACUAUGUGUUUUAAUAAGAAUGGUAGGAAAUUUUAAUUUUUAAGUUAUUAAUUUUUUAGCACAUAUAUCCCAUUAUUUGUUUUGUGACACGUGAUAUAUCAUCCCGUGUACCGAUCACACUGAAAAAUCUCUCUAUUACGUGUUAGUGUUUACCCUUUUGCUUUAGGAUGUAUUUUCAAUCCAUUUCAUAUAGAAUUUGAAAUUUAAACUUAUUCAACAAGAUAAUGAAAGUUACUAUUACUUGAGUGUGCAAAAAUAUUCAGGUUACUUCCUCUUUUCGUCUUUCGAUGAUUAGACAUUUUUAUGAUGUCUCAAAGUACCGAAUAUUUAGAAUCUUUUAGUUUUUAUAUUUUUAGUAAAAAGCAAUCUUAAAGAUUAAAAAUUUGGAGCAAAACUCUAGAAUUUUUGUUUUCUUGUUCAUAUUUGAAGGAAUAUUUUUUUUCUCAAACAAUAUUCACCAAAUAACCCUUCCAAAGCCGUUUAAAAUUAAAAUCAUGAAUGAAGAAUGAGCAAUGCAUCACAAAAAUGAACAAGUGUGUGUACCAAAAAGUGUUGUAACUUGUGAUACUCCCAACGGACUUUGGUAGCGCACACGAUUGGCGACAUGGCAAACUCAAAACCAAAGUUUUCGGUGCGGUUUAGAAUUUUCAAUCCAACUUGCACCUCUAAUUUAAACAAACAAAUGCAAUCGUAUAUGGGAUUAUGUUGCAGUCCUAUUAGAUUAUAAAUGGGAUUGUGUAAAUUCUAUUAUAUCUUGGAUAUCUUUUAGAUUAUAUAAUAUCCUAUUAGAGUUGUAGCCAAGACAGAGAGAAGGACCUUGGGAAGUGAGCCUUACCAGAAUCUUGAAACGAUCUGGUUGUAGCAAUACCAUGUCCCUGUGUAAUAGGUUAGGCGGAAAGAGAUCUUCUUCGGAUCUCUUCCAUCAAAUUCAUCCAAUCAAUUAAUCCGGAUCCUUGAAUUUUGAUCCAAGGGCUACAAACAUGAGACUCCUUUAAAAGUUAUAAUAAUUUUAGCUGUUGGAUCAAAUUUCAAGUGCCCGGAUUAAUUGAUUGGAUGGAUUUGGUGGAAGAGAACUAGAGAGGAUCUCUUUCCAGGUUAGGCAAACAGGGUAUUGCUGCACUUUUGAGAUGCAACAAUACCAUGUCUGAGAAAUGAUAAGGAUACUUUUUUAAAAUAAGACUCUCUGUAGACUCUUAAGUUAAUGUUUAAUUUAAUUUUCGUGCUAAUAUUAUAAAAUAUUGUAAAAAUAUAAGAUGAGUUGUUAACUUGAUUUUCAUGCCAAUAUUAUAAAACAUCGUAAAAAUAUAAAGUGAAUCGUUAACUUAAUUUUCAUGCCAAUAUUAUGAAACAUCGUAAAAAUACGAGGUGUUGAUGCACAAAAUCAGUGAGGAUUUUGUUACAAUAGAAAGUGUCAAGUUUGUGACCUUCGCUAGAUUGCUCCGGUCACUAGUGUGGAUAAGUAUGUAAAUGGAUAGAGACAGAGAAGCAAGCAACACAAUAUGUACAUGGUUCACCCAGAUUGGCUACGUCCACAGAGUAAGGGAGUUCUAAUUAAUUGUGAAAGGUUUACAAAAGUACAUAGGUUCAAGCUCUCCUUUAGUGAGUACUAGUGAAUGAUUUAGUACAAAUGAUAUUAGAGAUUAUUGUGGGAGAAUGAUCUCCUUUUAUAGAAGAGAGUUUCUAGCUUUGUUCUGGCCUUGACAUGUGUCAUGCUGUGAUUCGUCUUUGAUGUUGACACAUGUCGCCCUAUGAUUGGCCUCUUGGUGUUGACACUUGUUGCGCUGUGAUUGGCCUCCUGGUUGGAGGAAAACUCUUAUAGGUCCUUGACGGUAUAACGUUGACCGAUGUUUGUUAGUUUCGGGAUUUGUCAAGUAUGGUACGAACACGAGGUGAGCCUUGUUAUCAUAUCUCUCAACAAAAUAGUCUUACUCAUUGCAAAAAAUUAACAAAGGAUGACAAAGAUUGUAGAUUGAUGCUGCUUUAUUGUGACCGUUCGUAUACCCCAAACUCUAUGUAUAACUCGUACGACUGCUCCUCCCGUAAAACCCCACCGGUUCCUUCAUUGGUUCCAAUGUUAUUUGAUGUAUAAAAAUUUAAAAAUUAAGAUACUUGGAAAGUAAUAUAUUAAGAAUUAUCUUAAAAUACUGUACAAAAUUACAGAUGGUUUAUGACUUGCAUUGCAUUUCUACUUCGUUGACGAACAAUUUAAAUAAAUUUCUUUGCCAAACUCAGUUUUAAGCCUAGCUAUCUCUGGCGGUUUCUGACCAUUAUAGACUCCCCAAAAAUAAUUUAAAUAAUUGAUGGAACAAACUAUAUUCUUUUACCCAUAGAAAUUGACCUAGCUUCAAACCCCUUCUCCAGUAAACCCUCUCUGACACACUGAAACCAAAGGGUAAUUCUGUCUUUUGAACAAUAUUUUGGAUUUCGAAUAAGAAGUUUAGUCUAUUUAGAUGUGGGCACCAUCAUUAUUGCAGGUUAAUUCUAAGGAAAACUAAUAAAAAUGAUUUGAAAAUUUUGAGUUUUAACAAUAAGGACAAAAUAAAUGGUAAAGUUAAUAGUAACAAGAUUGACUUUUUAAUGUAAAAAUAUGAUUUUUCGUUAAAGUGAACGGUACCAGAAACUUUUAAAAUUCCCUUAAUUCUAACCCCCUCUCUAAUUCGGAUUAAAUUAUAAGGUGGUUUGAUAUAGAAAACUUUAAUUGUUUAGACCAUCUUCAAAGGAGAUGUCAAAUAUGUUAAAUAGGAUCAAAAAACAUUUAAGUGUUCUCCAAUGGAUAUGCCAUCUAUGAUGUGGCAUGUGAGUCAUUUGAUUCCUUACUUUCUAGAUGCCUUUUUUUACAACAAACAAAGAAGGAGUAAAAAAAUUUAAUUUAAUUUUUAAUGCAUAGGUCCCAUUAACAACCAAUAGAAUAAAAACUAAAACUAAUUUUGAUUAAUGUAACUCUAGGCCUAAUAAAAUAACAAAAUAAAUAUUUGACAUCCAUUGGAAAAGAAGAGAAUUUAGCACUUGUAUUCAAUUUGUCACAUCAACCAUCAAAUAAAAUUUUGACAUACUAUAUUUGACAUCUUCUUUGAAGAUGCUCUUACUUCCAAUUACUGAUGAACGAUCUAUACGUUUAGCACUAAUCAUGCUACUACAAUACUUGUGUUUGGAUUGGGAACUUAUUCAAAACGACACAAACAAUCGUUCUCUAUGACAAUGAGUUAGAUGUUGUCACUUUUAAGGAAUUUGAAUCCCAUCCGGCUUCAAAUUGUGGAGAUCUUAGGGAUCCUCAUAUCAUAGCCGUUCAUUGUACAUCGUGCGGUUAAAAAUUAUUUUAAAUUAUUUAUUUAAAAUUAAAUACAAACAGUGCCUAACGAAAAUUUAUCGCACGAUAUACGAUGAAUGGUUAAAUGUGAAGAUCCCUAGGAUCCUCGGAAAGAGAAUCUGAAGAUGAUCAUCAUCCACUUACAAGUGGUCUAUUAUUUAUAUAUAGUUAUUUUAUUUUUCCGCUUAAGGAACACGAAUAUGUGAAUAUGUGAAAAACAUGAAUAGCUUUUAAUUAUUUGUGAUUCUGUGUGGACAACUAAUAGAGCUGAACAAUAAACACCAUAUUAUUUAACUCUACUCAUAACAUUCAGAUUCUAUUAUUAGGUACAGUGUAUACCGAAUGAAUGAAGCGUGGAAUGCUUUAUCUUAUGAUAACAGUAACGAAUUCAAAAGGACAAGACCCCCGAAUUAAUUUAAAUAAUCAAUGGAAAGAUUUGAUAAAUCCUAUAAAAUUAUGGGAAGACCUAACAAACGUAAGCUAGUACUGUCACUGUGUACUACCAAGAAAAAGGCAUGCUCACGUAAACCCCCCACCAACGUUCCGACACACUGAAACUUAAGGGCAAUUACGGCUUUUCACUCACCAUGGCUCCAUACACGUGGCUCGGUGUAUGGCAUUUCUCUUCUCUAUAAAACCCUACCCAAGACCCUACACUUUCCCACAUUCAUUUAUCCAGAAAAUUAAGAGAAAUGGCUCCCUCUCGCUCUUACUCUCGUUCACUCCCACUCCUCUCCGCCACCACUCUCCUGAUCCUCUCCGCCACAUUCCUGAUCCUCUCCACCGUUGCCCACGCCACUAAGCAUCCACAAUCCAUCCUGACUGUCGUCAACAACUGCCCCUUCCCCAUCUGGCCCGCCAUCCAGCCCAACUCCGGCCACCCCGUCCUUCAACGCGGCGGCUUCUUCCUCAAACCCUUCAACCAUCGCUCCUUCCCCGCCCCCAUCCAGCCCUGGUCCGGCCGCAUCUGGGCCCGCACCCAUUGCACCCAAAAGGGACCUCGCCUCUCCUGCCUCACCGGCGACUGCGGCGGCCGUCUCGAGUGCAACGGAGCCGGAGGCGCUGCCCCGUCCACCCUUGCGCAGAUAGACCUCCACCAAGGCGGCCCCCGCGACCUAUUCUCCUACGGCGUCAGCCUCGUCGACGGCUUCAACGUCCCCAUGACCGUCACCCCUCACAAGGGCCAAGGCCGGUGCCCCGUCGUCGGUUGCAAGGCCGACCUGCUCGCCACGUGUCCCGACCGACUGAAGGUGAAGUCACCGAAGGGCGUCGUGGCGUGCAAGAGCGGGUGCGAGGCGUUCGGCACGGACAAGCUGUGCUGUCGGAACCACUACAACAGCCCCCAGACUUGUCGGGCUUCGAGCUACUCGCAGUUCUUCAAGCACGCGUGUCCCACCACCUUCACGUUCGCCUACGACAGCCCUCCGCUCAUGCACCAGUGCUCGUCGCCACGCGAGCUCAAGGUCAUCUUCUGUCCCUAGACAGUGAGGCGUAUGGUUCCAGCUUCCAACUGGUUCAACACUUCAACGUGCAGUUGAGUCGCUGUCCU